GACGAACGCUGGCGGCGUGCUUAACACAUGCAAGUCGAACGGAAAGGCCUGCCGCUUGCUGCGGGUACUCGAGUGGCGAACGGGUGAGUCACACGAGGGUGAUCUGCCUUGCACUUCGGGAUAAGCUUGGGAAACUGGGUAUAAUACCGGAUAGGACAGCUGUUUAGUGUCAGUUGUGGAAAGUUUUUUCGGUGCAAGAUGAGCUCGCGGCCUAUCAGCUUGUUGGUGGGGUAAUGGCCUACCAAGGCGUCGACGGGUAGCCGGCCUGAGAGGGUGUACGGCCACAUUGGGACUGAGAUACGGCCCAGACUCCUACGGGAGGCAGCAGUGGGGAAUAUUGCACAAUGGGCGGAAGCCUGAUGCAGCGACGCCGCGUGGGGGAUGAAGGCCUUCGGGUUGUAAACUCCUUUCGACAGGGACGAAGCUUUUGUGACGGUACCUGUAGAAGAAGCACCGGCUAACUACGUG
rnacentral:rRNA from 1 species